ACCAAGUCACGAUCAAGCCAAAAGUAGGUCAUGCCUGAGCCAAGAUCGUGCCAAAGCCAAGUCAUGAUUGUGCCAUUAUUAAGUCAUGACUUUGCUAGUAAUAGGUCAUGAACGUGCCAAAAUAUACAAGGCGCAUCAAGCCAAGGGUGGCGCAUUAAGUCAGGCGAGGCACACCAAUCAAGUUAGGCGAGACACAUCAAUCCAAGCAUAGCACAUCAAGAUCAUGCACAUCACGACAAAUAAGGACCAGGCACAUCAUGCCACAUCAAAACAAUGUACAUCAUGGUGCAUCAGGACCAGGCGCAUUAGGCCAGGCCUGGCACAUUAGGAUCUGGCCACACA
rnacentral:lncRNA from 1 species